AUAAAAACGCCCCGCCCUAUUUGUUACUGGUUAGGUUGGAUUGUUUUGUGCCACUGUAAAUGGCCCAAAGAGCUGCCCGAGGCUCUGGAGCCACAGAACAUUGACUUUCCAGCUCUUUGCGGUUGUGCAUUUAUGGGAUUGUCUCCAGGAUCUGUCAACUCUCCAACCUACUCUUGUAGAGUUGGAUAGAUAAAGAAGUGAUGAUAGUGCUGAUAAAAUGGAAUUUUUAACAAACCAGCUGCGUUGCUGUGGUUACAAAAAGGACAUCGGGACUCGUAGCUUUGCACAGUGUCAGUUUUCAAAGUGAUCAGAAGUUGGCAAGACUCUGAGUGUUACCUGAUGCCGAAUAAUCCUGCGUCAGUGGUUCAGCUACACUAGACGCUGACCCUGUCAAAGAAGCAAAAUAUUUGGUUACCRCAACCCCUGAUGGUAUAAUAUAAAACCACUAACUAUUAAACAAGAGUUGGUGAAAAAACUUAGAAAGUAAAGUAAGUUUGCAUCUGUUAUAUAUUUUUUCUAUUGUUUCAUUAAACUGAGAAUUAUGGUAAAAACUUUGGAGUUGGCCAAAGAUUUAAAAAYAGUUGACAUGC